rnacentral:lncRNA from 1 species
GAGACAGGGUUUCACCGUGUUAGCCAGGAUGGUCUCGAUCUCCUGACCUCGUGAUCCGCCCGCCUCAUCCUCCCAAAGUGCUGGGAUUACAGGCGUGAGCCACCGCACCUGGCCCACAGCCCCUUCAUUUUCAAAGCCCAUGCUGGAGGAAACCCCUCAUGCUGAGUCCCUCUCACACUGUGAGUCUCUAUGCUCAGGAAGAACCCAGUCCUUUCAAGGUCUCACCUGAUUAGGACAGUCCAAGCAGGAUAAACCCAGCCUAAAGUCAACUAAUUGAGACCCUUAAUUAUAUCCACUAACUCCCUUCACAGCAGCACCUACAUUAGAGUUGAUUGAAUAACUGGAGGAUGGUGAAUGACCAGGAGCUGGUUGUUGAGGGCAUAAUAGAAUCAGCCUAGCAAGGGUUGGAUCUUCCUUUUGUGUUUACUUCGGACACAGUUGGAAAUUGAAGUUCAAGUAAAGUGAUCAUUGUGAAUGGUCAUAAAAUACAUCCUCUUCAGCCAUGGAAAUUCUCCUUACCUUUUAAAACUAAGUUACGUGUUUAAUAUCUUAUAAUUAAUUUACGCCAGGUAUGGUGGCUCAUGCCUGCCAUCCUAGCACUGUGGAAGGCAGAGGAAGGCAGAUUUGUUGACUCCAGAAGUUCAAGAUCAGCCUGGGCAAAACCCCCAUCUAUACAAAAAAUUAGAAAAUUAGCCAGGCAUAGUAGUUCAUGACGGUAGUCCCAGCUACUCAGGAGGCUGAGAUCAGUGGGUCCCUUGACCCCAGGAGGUCGACACUGCAGUACAUGGUGAUCAUGCCACUGCACUCCAGCCUGGGUGACAGAGCGAGACCGUGUCUCAAAAAUAAUAAUGAUGACGAUGAUACAUUUAAAGCAAAUGCAAUUUAAUGUGUAAUAAUACAUCCUCUCUUGUGAAAGUGUAUUAUUUAUUUACUAUUGCAUAACAAAUUAUGUAAAACUUAGCUCAAAACAACAAAUAUUCCUCAUCUGCCGCAGUUUCCAAUGGUCAGGAGUCCAGGAGAGGUUUCCCUGAGUGCUUCUUGCUCGGGGCCUCUCACAAGGUUGCAGUACAGUUGUCAGCCAAGGGCUGCAUCAUCUGAGGGCUUCACUGGGGCUGAGGAUUCACAUGAAACAUGGAUCAGUCAUAUGGCUGUUGGAAAAGGCCUAGUUCUUUGUUGUCUGUUCCCAGAACGCCUCGGUUCUCAGCCACAUGGACCUUCCUGCAGGGCUGCUUGUGGCACAGCAGCUGGCUUCCCCCAGAGCUCAUGAUCCCAGAGACAGAGAGAGAGAAGGUGGAAGCCACAGUGAGUUUUAGGUUCUACACCCAGAGUCACAAACCAUUAUGUCAGCAUUAUUCUGUAAGUUAGAAGUUAUAUUAGUCCAUUCUCACACUGCUAUAAAGAAAUACCUGAGACUGGGUAAUUUAUAAAGGAGAGAGGUUUAAUUGACUCACAGUUCUGCAUGGCUGAGGAGCCUGCCCCAGGAAACUUACAGUCAUGGCAGAAGUGGAAGCAAACACAUCCUUCUUCACAUGAUGACAGGAGAGAGAAAUGCAGAAUGAAGCAGGGAAAAGCCCCUUAUAAAACCAUCAGAUUGCAUGAGAAUUCCCUCAGUAUCACGAGAACAGCAUGGGGGCACCGCCUCCAUUAUCCAAUCACCUCCCAUGUGGUCCCUCCCCCAAUAGGUAGGGAUUACAAUUCGCAUAACAAUUCAAGAUGAGAUUUGGGUGGGAACACAGAACCAGGCCAUAUCAGAAGUGCCUCAUUAAGUCCAAGCCACACUCAGGAGAGGGAAUUAAGAUGCACCUCUGGAAGGGAACAGUAUCAAAUGUUUUGAAUAUAUGUUAAAAGCAAAAUUAUAACUAUUGUUUCAGGUUUUUGAAAAUCAAAGACUUCUUUUAUCUAAUUAUUUUUCAUUAACUCUUUCAGCUUGUCUUUUUCUUUAAGCUUGUUUUUUAAUUUAAUUUUUUUUAAGUUUCAGGGUACACGUGCAGGAUGUGCAGGUUUGUUACAUAGGUAAACAUGUGCCAUGUUGGUUUGCUGCACCUGUCAACUCAUCACCUAGAGACAAGGUCUCACUAUGUUUCCCAGGCUAGUCUUGAACUCCCAGGCUCAAACAAUUCUCCUGUCUCAUCAUCCCAAAGUGCCAGGAUUACAGAGCACAUGAGCCUGCAAGGCCCAGAUCAACACCUGACUCAGACAGAACACCAGGGCAGUGCACAGCUGGGAUUUCAGUCUCUGCUCUCAGCUCCCAGGUCCACUGGCUCUACUGAGGGCACCUACACUCUGCAGCCAGGCGGCCUGGAUUGAACGCCCUGCCCAGGACCCACACACAGGCACUGCAGCAGCGACAGGAGGAGGGGGCGCUGGGAACAGGAAGGACACCACCGCUUGGCCUCCGGCACCGGAGGGACAACCUGGAGGGCUCCGGGAGCACCGCAAAGGUCCAAGCGGAGCCAAUCCUCACAAGCCCAGGGAAGGGCAACGUGACAGGCCGGCGGGACAGCCCCACCGCCGCGAAGAGGGGCUGCCCAAAAGGCAACAGCCAUAGGAGAUGAGCAGGGGUGCCUGCUGCGUCGGAGAACUCAUCUCCCCAACCCCACCGACGCCACAAGGUAGAGGGCGAGGACAGCGAGGUCGGCCGGAUUCCGCACCCCUGCCUCCAACCACCGCCCAUGGGCGGGGAGGAGAGACUACCGACCGCAAGCGGAACGCAGAACGAGAAGAGCCGUCCCGUUAGCCAUGAAUGUGUCCCUCAUCUGUACCGCCUCCGGCCCCGCCCGGGAGAACGCGACGUCACCACAUCCAUCACUUGUUCUCUUUCACUCUUCCCGUUCUUUCCUUUUCCCAGUAUAUUUAUAUAGUAAUUAUGUUUAAUUCAGCCACUCCUUGUUUUUUUCCGUGACUCAUCUUCUCAUAUGUCAACUUGACUACUUUUCACUUGCUUCGUAGUAUUUGUUCUUCCUCAAGUUAAUACUUGCCUUUGUUUUUGUUUAUGUUCUAGAUAACUCUCAUUAAUUUAACUUUGAUAUCUGUUCCAUUUCUGUGACUCUGUUAAGAAAUUAGAGACUUUGAACUUUCUAUUAAUUUUACUUUCUUGGAAAUGUCCCUCUUGGGCCCUUCUGGCUGCUCCCAUCUGGACUGGAGGCUUCUACCUGUGGGACAGAGUCACCUUCCUAGGAUCUCCCUCCACCACCAUCUGGGGCGGUGCUUUACAUGCAGUGGAGCCACCUGGGGUCCUGACAAAUGCAGACUGAUCAACCUGUCAAGGCUGGGCCUGUGAGCCUUUCUGUCCAGUUUCAUGAGAUGCUGGUUCUGCUGGUUCAUGGAUAAUAGCUGGGGUAGCAAGGAUCUCUCUUUUUGUCUCACAGUUUUCUGCAUCUCUUUUUCAUAGUAAGCACAU